AUAGGCAAAAGACAGUAAAAUGAAAACAUUACAUCCAGAUAGACCUGCAUUUUCAAUAUAUAUAUAUUUUUUUUAACAGAAAAACGAGAAUAAAGCAUGCUCUCGAUUCAGGGGCUUAUAAUGUAGAACACAGAAAGCCCAAGGGCGAUUAACAGACGAUUGAAUAAUGACCAAUGACGAUGUUCAGAAAUUUAGAAGAGCUCCACAGUAUGAAAGCAAUCAGAUUAUUCAGAGAUGAGAUUCAGCAAAUGAUGUUAUUUGUAGGCCACAUUCAAGUUUGAUGGUUGAUAAAUUCAUGUCUGUACUCAGUGAGUGCUUCAGAGGUUUUUGUUGAGGUGAAUCUACUUAAGAUUCAAUUGACAAUGAGUGACGCAAGGUCAAUCUGAGCAAACCAAACAUAAUUUAUAAGUUGUAUACAGCGAUAAGUUUGAAAACGUUUCAAUUUUUGCAUACCUGAGCAAGGACCUGAGCAACAAAGAGCGAGUAGUGAUGAUGAGUUUGUGAGCAGGACGUAGACUUAUGUAAAACUCGAUUCUCUGUCUCAUGGAUAUGCAGCUCAGAAGGUCGCAGUUUGAAACCUUGUUUGUACCUUGAAGAACUGUAGAGAGUCCGAGAACGUGUCCAUGUUGAACUGAGAUAUUCCAUCAUUGUGCCAUGGUCUUGUUUUAACUGUGGUGGGAAUUUCAAGAUGUUUGAAAAUUAAUUGAUCAAUACUGACAUACUACUGACAUAUUUUAUUAAUCCCUUUCAUUUCUGGAGCGGCUGUAGCAUUGUUGGGUCCUGAAAGUGCUAAUCUUACAUAAGGGCCUUGCUACGGUUGUUUUUGCACAGUGGAUAAAAGUGUGGGCUAUCAAUAUGUAGACCUGGGUGCAGUUCCCGGUCAUCUGUUUGUGUCCUUGGACAAGACACUUCAUCUGCAUAGUUUCAGAGCCUUGGCUGUGGUAGUAUCCUGCUUUGGACAAGUGUUCUAUCCAGGGGCAGUUGCAGACUUGAAACCAUUUCACCUUGGCAUACAAAGUUAAGCACCAACACCAAGGGGCUUCGGGGCCCAGAGAGGACCAACGUGAUACAGUUCCGGCACAUUACAUCAAACUGUCUGCUAGAUCACAUUCAGGCUAAGUGUGAUCUUCACACGCCAGUAUGUCAUGGUUUUAGACUGUGAUCUUCUGGCAUGCAUAUCCCCAGAGAGCGGACAUGAUUCUGAAGAUGGCUGAAGGGUAACAGGAGUGUAGUGUUCGUUUAAUUUGAGUGAAGAGGUGUGCAAAACAGGUGUGGCACGUUUAACAGGAAGGGUAUGGUGCAGUUCAGUUUAUCCUCAUUAGAAGUGAGGCAUCUGCAGGAAAAAAAAAUGAUUAAAACUCAACUGAAGUUUGCUGGUGAUGUGAGAAACACGGUGUACAAAACACAACAUGUAGUGUGUGUGUGUGUGUGUGGACUCUUUGGAGUAGAGAACAAAUGAUGUCAGCAAGCCACGAAUGUAAACCAAGAGCUGUUUGGGCACUUGGCUGGCAGAUCUGUGGCAAUUCAUCAAGAGGAGUGGCAUCACACCCAUCAGAGGUCACGGGACUUUUGCUGUCAGAUGUUUGCAUCUCAUCUCCAACUGCAAACCAAGUGACAGUGAAAGUCACAAAGAUCCAAGGAUGACUUUGAAAGACCAGCCUGAGGAAAAACAAGAUUCACUGCAAGACAAACGGCUGGAGUUUCAUGCUUGAUUUAUUCAUAUACUGACUGACACUGCAUUUAUUUAUUGUUUGUAUUUAUUCAUGGGGCAGCUGAAUUUUGCAGGCUAUACGCCUGCAUAAUUUAGCCUACAUUGCUAAGGUGAUUGGGCAGGUGCUAUUGAUGGUUUGUGCGUUUUAUUGCUUUCACAAGGAGGAAAAAAAUAGAAUGAAGUGAAAACUUACUAAUGGACAGUUGGACUACUGUGCCUUUACCAAAUAGGAUGUGUUCAGAAAAAAAAAAACACCUACAGGAUAUCAUGCUUUCAAUGCAUUUGUACUGCAAUUUGAUUGUUUGCUUGUAUUUCACAAAACAAACCCUACACAUUCAAUCAUGAAAGCGUACAUGUAGUCAGUAUUCAACUACUUCUAAAGUUCCAAGCAGCUUCAACACCAGCGGUAUUAUAAACUUUCCAAUUUCCAACUAUAACAUUCUGAUAGCUAUGUUUCAUCAUAACUGCAUACAUCGCCAACUUUCCACAUGAUACAGCAGUGGCUACUAUCAUUUUUAUUAGAGUGGACCCUUCCUGACCUGAUAGUCUGAACUGCACUCGUAGCUCGUGCAUUUUAAAACUUGAACAAACACAAACUGUAAUGUAAGGGAGGCAAUUAUUGUACCACCCUCUACUGCUGCUACUGUAUUCUAAUUCCAAUUCUGAUUUCUAGGUUGGAGGAGAUGCGCUCUUUAUGUGAAAA